rnacentral:misc_RNA from 1 species
GGGGGGGAGGGGGUUUCCAACUCAAAAGCUGAAAGAAUAUACAGGUUGGCGUUUGCUUAAACAGCCUAAAGACAAACUCAAACUGUGAUUGCCUUGCUUGGAAGGAAAGGAUACACUUUACUGCUUAACAUAUCUAAUCUAUUAAGUUAAGACCAUAGUUUUGAAACCUAAACCGACCCGAUCGAUUUAAUCUGAAAGUAAAAAAAUGGGGCCUAUAAUCAAUUGGAAUUAUCUUUAAAAAUAAAAAAUGAUAAAAUUUGGUCAUACUCAUCGAACUUAAAGAAAUCAACUUGAUCACGGUUNNNNNACUGGGUUUUAAAUUUUUUUUUUUUUUACAAAACGACGUCGUGUUAUACAUGCACGUAACUUUGCACUCUGACUUUCACCAUUAGAUUUUCCAUGCAUUCAACCCUGAUAUAAAAUGCAUUCAAUGCUAGAGACCCUUGUUGUCUACAAAUUUGCUUUUGCUACCAACUAGUUUUGAGACAAAAAUGACCUCAUCAUAACAAUGUCCUAAUUACCAAAACACCCCUCCUCAAUUACCCAAAAAUAUAGAGGGCAAUCUAGGUAAUUAACUUGAUCCAAACCACUCCCGCUUUCGUAGCCAACCGUCAAUCGACACGGAUACCUCAUGAAACGUUCCG